UAGAGUUUGAUCCUGGCUCAGAUUGAACGCUGGCGGCAUGCUUUACACACGCAAGUCGAACGGCAGCGCGGGCUUCGGCCUGGCGGCGAGUGGCGAACGGGUGAGUAAUAUAUCGGAACGUACCCAAGAGUGGGGGAUAACGUAGCGAAAGUUACGCUAAUACCGCAUACGAUCCAAGGAUGAAAGCAGGGGACCGCAAGGCCUUGUGCUCCUGGAGCGGCCGAUAUCUGAUUAGCUAGUUGGUGAGGUAAAGGCUCACCAAGGCAACGAUCAGUAGCUGGUCUGAGAGGACGACCAGCCACACUGGAACUGAGACACGGUCCAGACUCCUACGGGAGGCAGCAGUGGGGAAUUUUGGACAAUGGGGGCAACCCUGAUCCAGCAAUGCCGCGUGAGUGAAGAAGGCCUUCGGGUUGUAAAGCUCUUUUGUCAGGGAAGAAAAGGGAGUGGCUAAUAUCCAUUCCUGCUGACGGUACCUGAAGAAUAAGCACCGGCUAACUACGUGCCAGCAGCCGCGGUAAUACGUAGGGUGCAAGCGUUAAUCGGAAUUACUGGGCGUAAAGCGUGCGCAGGCGGUUUCGUAAGUCUGUCGUGAAAUCCCCGGGCUUAACCUGGGAAUGGCGAUGGAGACUGCGAGGCUAGAGUUUGGCAGAGGGGGGUAGAAUUCCACGUGUAGCAGUGAAAUGCGUAGAGAUGUGGAGGAACACCGAUGGCGAAGGCAGCCCCCUGGGUCAAAACUGACGCUCAUGCACGAAAGCGUGGGGAGCAAACAGGAUUAGAUACCCUGGUAGUCCACGCCCUAAACGAUGUNUACUAG
rnacentral:rRNA from 1 species